UACGGGGGGGCAAGCGUUGUUCGGAAUUACUGGGCGUAAAGGGCUCGUAGGCGGCCAACUAAGUCAGACGUGAAUCCCAGGCUCAACCUGGGAACUGCGUCUGAUACUGGAUGGCUUGAAUCCGGGAGAGGGAUGCGGAAUUCCAGGUGUAGCGGUGAAAUGCGUAGAUAUCUGGAGGAACACCGGUGGCGAAGGCGGCAUCCUGGACCGACACUGACGCUGAGGAGCGAAAGCCAGGGGAGCCAAACAG
rnacentral:rRNA from 1 species